GACUAGCUCGGAUUGUCAACCAACUAGCCACAACAGUUUGUGCAUUUUUUGUUUGCAACUUUUUCUGGCGUACACGAUGUUCCAGUGAAGUCGUGAGUCAAGAUGUUUUCCCAGAUAUUUCGCUCAAUCAUAUUGCGGCUUUUACUAACACCUGAAUUAGAAUCCAACUUCUCAUUUUUCUUCGUAUUGUAUUCGAUAUUUUUAUUAGGAUCAUUAAUAUUACUCACUUGGAAAUGUAAUAAUUCACUCUGUAGUAUUGCUUUGCUCAAAUGUAAUUGGGUUACAAACUUAGUUAAGUUUUUCGUUGUCUUGUUGUAUUUGUAGUAUAAAUGCAUGGUCAACUAAAACCUGAACCGUCACAGACAUUCCGAAAGACGAUCCAAGCCCCAACACGCGUGUGUCAAAGGCGAAGACAUAUUCAUAGUUAGUAUAUUACUAAACGAACGCGUAUAUUCAAAAUUCGAGAGCGGAACAUACAUGUUGCUCGUUCGAUAAACAAAACGCGACUAUACAAAUGACAUGUACACAAUUUAUCUUGUAUUG